rnacentral:hammerhead_ribozyme from 1 species
AUUCAGCUUACGAGUCCCAAAUAGGAUGAAACGCGCAUCCUGGAU